GGCUGGCGAAUAGUGUUAAAGUCAACCGAAAUAUGUGCGCGAUAGUGACGUUGAUUGUACCAACUUUAUCAGAAUAAAUUGAUUUCCGAACAGACGGCGAUGUGACAGUUUUGGACUGAAUGACGGAGCAGGCAAAAUUCAACCAACAAAGUGUAUUCCGCGGGACCCUGUAUACACCAAGGCAGGCGAUACCAGUUCCAUGGGAAAAAUAAUAAAUGAAUGUUGACGGAAGGAUGUCGUCAAACAAUGUGGAUUGCAAUUGCAAAAAGAAACGGGACCACAUGAUGAGAUGGUGGCGAGCCACAAUAAGACUCCGGGAUCAGUGCGACUCUUCUAGUGUUGUGGGCAACGCUAUUGCGAUCGAACAAAAUGAUUCGUCCCUAUUUAGCCGAUAAAUUUAAUUAAUAAAGAAUCGUACCCCAAAGACAACAUAUGAUGGAUUCAAGAUAAGAACAAUUAAAUGUCUGGAUCCACAAUUAUUCAAGAUUAAUCUACCCCUAUGAAGUAAUACAUUUAAGUUGGAAAUAAAGAAUAAAGAACAUUAUGAAAUUAAAAG